CGAGGACGAACGCUGGCGGCGUGCCUAACACAUGCAAGUCGAACGAGAUCCAUGGGAGCUUGCUCCCGGAAGAUCUAGUGGCGAACGGGUGAGUAACACGUGAGAAACCUGUCCUGGAGUGGGGAAUAACUCGGGGAAACUCGAGCUAAUGCCGCAUACCCUCGGAUGGUCGCAUGGCCGACCGAGGAAAGAUUUAUCGCUCUAGGAGGGUCUCGCGGCCUAUCAGCUAGUUGGUGGGGUAACGGCCUACCAAGGCAACGACGGGUAGCUGGUUUGAGAGAACGAUCAGCCACACUGGGACUGAGACACGGCCCAGACCCCUACGGGAGGCAGCAGUGGGGAAUCUUGCGCAAUGGGCGAAAGCCUGACGCAGCAACGCCGCGUGCGGGAUGACGGCCUUCGUGGUUGUAAACCGCUUUCAGCAGGGACGAAAAUGACGGUACCUGCAGAAGAAGCCCCGGCUAACUACGUG
rnacentral:rRNA from 1 species